CCAAUAGCGUAUAUUAAAGUUGUUGCAGUUAAAAAGCUCGUAGUUGAAUUUCGGGGUUAGUAGGUUGGUCAUGCCUCUGGUAUGUACUGGUCUCACUGAUUCCUCCUUCCUGAUGAACCGUAAUGCCAUUAAUUUGGUGUUGCGGGGAAUUUGGACUGUUACUUUGAAAAAAUUAGAGUGUUUAAAGCAAGCUAACGCUUGAAUACAUUAGCAUGGAAUAAUGAAAUAGGACGUUCGAUCCUAUUUUGUUGGUUUCUAGGAUUGACGUAAUGAUUAAUAGGGAUAGUUGGGGGCAUUAGUAUUCAAUUGUCAGAGGUGAAAUUCUUGGAUUUAUUGAAGACUAACUACUGCGAAAGCAUUUGCCAAGGAUGUUUUCAUUAAUCAAGAACGAAAGUUAGGGGAUCGAAGACGAUCAGAUACCGUCGUAGUCUUAACCAUAAACUAUGCCGACUAGGGAUCGGAUGAUGUUAAUUUUUUAAUGACUCAUUCGGCACCUUACG
rnacentral:rRNA from 2 species